GAUGAACGCUGGCGGCGUGCCUAAUACAUGCAAGUCGAGCGAACGGACGAGAAGCUUGCUUCUCUGAUGUUAGCGGCGGACGGGUGAGUAACACGUGGAUAACCUACCUAUAAGACUGGGAUAACUUCGGGAAACCGGAGCUAAUACCGGAUAAUAUUUUGAACCGCAUGGUUCAAAAGUGAAAGACGGUCUUGCUGUCACUUAUAGAUGGAUCCGCGCUGCAUUAGCUAGUUGGUAAGGUAACGGCUUACCAAGGCAACGAUGCAUAGCCGACCUGAGAGGGUGAUCGGCCACACUGGAACUGAGACACGGUCCAGACUCCUACGGGAGGCAGCAGUAGGGAAUCUUCCGCAAUGGGCGAAAGCCUGACGGAGCAACGCCGCGUGAGUGAUGAAGGUCUUCGGAUCGUAAAACUCUGUUAUUAGGGAAGAACAUAUGUGUAAGUAACUGUGCACACCUUGACGGUACCUAAUCAGAAAGCCACGGCUAACUACGUGCCAGCAGCCGCGGUAAUACGUAGGUGGCAAGCGUUAUCCGGAAUUAUUGGGCGUAAAGCGCGCGUAGGCGGUUUUUUAAGUCUGAUGUGAAAGCCCACGGCUCAACCGUGGAGGGUCAUUGGAAACUGGAAAACUUGAGUGCAGAAGAGGAAAGUGGAAUUCCAUGUGUAGCGGUGAAAUGCGCAGAGAUAUGGAGGAACACCAGUGGCGAAGGCGACUUUCUGGUCUGUAACUGACGCUGAUGUGCGAAAGCGUGGGGAUCAAACAGGAUUAGAUACCCUGGUAGUCCACGCCGUAAACGAUGAGUGCUAAGUGUUAGGGGGUUUCCGCCCCUUAGUGCUGCAGCUAACGCAUUAAGCACUCCGCCUGGGGAGUACGACCGCAAGGUUGAAACUCAAAGGAAUUGACGGGGACCCGCACAAGCGGUGGAGCAUGUGGUUUAAUUCGAAGCAACGCGAAGAACCUUACCAAAUCUUGACAUCCUUUGACAACUCUAGAGAUAGAGCCUUCCCCUUCGGGGGGGCAAAGUGACAGGUGGUGCAUGGUUGUCGUCAGCUCGUGUCGUGAGAUGUUGGGUUAAGUCCCGCAACGAGCGCAACCCUUAAGCUUAGUUGCCAUCAUUAAGUUGGGCACUCUAAGUUGACUGCCGGUGACAAACCGGAGGAAGGUGGGGAUGACGUCAAAUCAUCAUGCCCCUUAUGAUUUGGGCUACACACGUGCUACAAUGGACAAUACAAAGGGCAGCGAAACCGCGAGGUCAAGCAAAUCCCAUAAAGUUGUUCUCAGUUCGGAUUGUAGUCUGCAACUCGACUACAUGAAGCUGGAAUCGCUAGUAAUCGUAGAUCAGCAUGCUACGGUGAAUACGUUCCCGGGUCU
rnacentral:rRNA from 1 species